AGAGUUUGAUCCUGGCUCAGAUUGAACGCUGGCGGCAUGCCUUACACAUGCAAGUCGAACGGCAGCGCGGGAGCAAUCCUGGCGGCGAGUGGCGAACGGGUGAGUAAUAUAUCGGAACGUGCCCAUUAGUGGGGGAUAGCCCGGCGAAAGCCGGAUUAAUACCGCAUACGACCUGAGGGUGAAAGCGGGGGAUCGCAAGACCUCGCGCUAUUGGAGCGGCCGAUAUCAGAUUAGCUAGUUGGUGGGGUAAAAGCCUACCAAGGCAACGAUCUGUAGUUGGUCUGAGAGGACGACCAGCCACACUGGGACUGAGACACGGCCCAGACUCCUACGGGAGGCAGCAGUGGGGAAUUUUGGACAAUGGGCGCAAGCCUGAUCCAGCAAUGCCGCGUGCAGGAAGAAGGCCUUCGGGUUGUAAACUGCUUUUGUCAGGGAAGAAAUCCUUUGGGUUAAUACCUCGAAGGGAUGACGGUACCUGAAGAAUAAGCACCGGCUAACUACGUGCCAGCAGCCGCGGUAAUAC
rnacentral:rRNA from 1 species